UGCCUGUAAUCCCAGAUACUUGGGAGGCUGAGGCACAAGAAUUACUUGAACCUGGGAGGCGGAGGUUGCAGUGAGCUGAUAUCGCAUCCUGCACUUCACUCCAGCCUGGGCGACAGAGCAAGACUCUGUCUCAAAAAAAAAAAAAAAAAAAAAGGAAAAAGAAAAAAAAGAAAAACUGAGGAGGGUUAUGUAAGUUAUUUUGAAACAAUUAUCCAGCGAUUUUCGUGCCUCAGCCUCCUGAGUAGCUGGGAUUACAGGCAGCUGCCACCAUGCCCGGCUAUAGUAGAGACGGGGUUUUGCCACGUUGGCCAGGCUGGUCUUGAACUCCUGGCCUCAUGUGAUCUGCCUGCCUCAGUCUCCCAAAGUGCUGGGAUUACAGGCAUGAGCCACCAUGCCCGGCCCAUUUGUCA
rnacentral:lncRNA from 10 species